rnacentral:rRNA from 1 species
AUGGUGCGGCGGAAGACGGUGAUUGAGAGGAUCGAGGACACGACGAGCCGGCAGGUGACCUUCUCCAAAAGGAAGGGCGGGCUGUUCAAGAAGGCCAGGGAGCUGGGCGUCCUCUGCGACGCCCAGGUAGGGAUCCUCCUCUUCUCCAACACCGUCCGCCUCUACGAGUACUCCAACUCCAGCUCCGGGGUUAAUUCUAUAAUUGAAAGAUACCAGAAGGUUAAGGAGGGCCAACAAUUCAUGAGUCCGAGCGCUGAGGCUAAGUUUUGGCAAGCGGAGGCAGAGCGUCUGAGGCAACAACUACAUAACUUGCAAGAGGAUCAUAGACAGUUGUUGGGACAAAAUCUGCCUGGCUUAGGUUCGGAAGGCUUGAAGGAUCUAGAGAAUCAACUGGAAACAAGCAUACAUAACAUUAGGCUAACGAAGGACCAACUUAUGAUUGAUGAAAUUGAAGAGUUAAACAAGAAGGAAAGCCUCGUGCACCAGGAAAAUAUGGAGCUACACAAGAAACUGAACAUCAUUCGCCGACAGAAUUUAGAUUUGCAAAACAAGUUAAAUGGCCAGGUGGAACUAAACGAGACAAUUACAAGUUCUUCUUGCCAGUACAACAUUGCUGCUGAGCUGAUCCAGUUUGUGUGCAACUCAGCCAUCCCCACAUGCAGAAAGGGAUGA